GAAAUGCGAUAAGUAAUGUGAAUUGCAGAAUUCAGUGAAUCAUCGAAUCUUUGAACGCACCUUGCGCUCCUUGGUACUCCGAGGAGCAUGCCUGUUUGAGUGUCAUUAAAUUAUCAACCUUUCCAUAAUUUUUUAAUUAUUGGUUAGGCUUGGAUGUGAGGGGUUUUGCAGGCUUCUCAAAAGUCAGCUCCCUUUAAAUUUAUUAGUCGAACCUUUGUCGAACCGUCUAAUAGUGUGAUAAUUAUCUACGCUAUUGACUAGACAUUAAUAGGAUUCAGCUUAUAACAGUCCAUUCACUUGGACAAUUUUUGACAAUUUGACCUCAAAUCAGGUAGGACUACCCGCUGAACUUAA
rnacentral:misc_RNA from 1 species